GAUGAACGCUGGCGGCGUGCCUAAUACAUGCAAGUCGAGCGAACAGACGAGGAGCUUGCUCCUCUGACGUUAGCGUCGGACGGGUGAGUAACACGUGGAUAACCUACCUAUAAGACUGGGAUAACUUCGGGAAACCGGAGCUAAUACCGGAUAAUAUAUUGAACCGCAUGGUUCAAUAGUGAAAGACGGUUUUGCUGUCACUUAUAGAUGGAUCCGCGCCGCAUUAGCUAGUUGGUAAGGUAACGGCUUACCAAGGCAACGAUGCGUAGCCGACCUGAGAGACUGAUCGGCCACACUGGAACUGAGACACGGUCCAGACUCCUACGGGAGGCAGGAGUAGGGAAUCUUCCGCAAUGGGCGAAAGCCUGACGGAGCAACGCCGCGUGAGUGAUGAAGGUCUUCGUAUCGUAAAACUCUGUUAUUAGGGAAGAACAAAUGUGUAAGUAACUAUGCACGUCUUGACGGUACCUAAUCAGAAAGCCACGGCUAACUACGUG
rnacentral:rRNA from 1 species